UCGUCCCCAAUCUCCAGACUGCAGAGUACGGCAAGUGCACACCCGAGUUUUUUUUUGGCCAAUGGUAUUGCACACUUAAACAUAUUUAAAAUAUUUUCCAGUUUUGUCAGGCAUUAAAAUAAGGACUUCUAAGACAAGUGUAAUAUAACAACCAUCUGAAUAUCGGGAACGCUGAUUCAUGAGCGCAAAUGAAAAAUGUCCAUUAAAGUUUCGAAUUUCUAUCUACAGCAGAGUUUUGCGAUCAUCAGGUUCAGGGGCGUAGGAAGCGGGGGGGCACGGGGGGCACGUGCCCCCCCAAAUUUUUUUAAAGGACUAAAAGUGCCCUUUUUUGUGAUAAAAAGUGCCCUUUUUGUGUUGAAAAGUGCCCUUUUUUGUGAGGAAAAGUGCCCCUUUUGUAGAAGCUAAUGUCGCUGUAAAUACUAAAUUAAAACAAUAGGUGCCGUGUUUGUGUGGAAAUUUACAAAUUUUUUUUAAAAAUUAGGUCACAAACAUAAAUUUCGGUAUGAUACGACGGAAAAUUUUCCUCAGGAGAAAUUUCUCUCCCCCCCCCCCGUCGACAACAUUUCCGGGGAAAAUUUUUUAGGUGCCCUUUCCGAUAGUAAUGUGCCCCUACAAGCCGGUGCCCCCCCAAACUCCAGGUGCUUCCUACGCCCCUGAUCAGGUUGUUAUGAUUAAACAAAACCGUAUAGCAUGUAAGCUUGGGCACAAGAGAACUUAUAAUUGGUCCGAUUUCCUCGAGGCGCCACCAUGGUUGGCGCCGAGCGGAAAAUUUUUGAAAUUUGGAGUCCCUACAUUGUCGGAAAUGGCAUUUUCGAGUGAAACACUUUCCAUUUACAACUCAAUUACAAGGACAUGCACAUUUUCCUUUUACAGGACAAAAAGUGUGUCAAAAACACGCUAUUUUGUACAUGUUCAUAAUGACUUUUAACUCCGAUCGAAAUAUAUAUUCUUGUUUGUUCGUCAGAAUUUGGACCACGUUUUGUUUUCCUGAGAGGCAGAAAUUUUAGUUAUUUGUACAAAUAAACAAUCAUUGUUUAAUAUCAUUAGAACAUGCAGCUAUUUACAAGUGCACACUUGACUACGUUAACUGAGGAUUGCACACUUGCACACCUGAAUUUUUGUCUUGCACACCCGAGAUCUCGUCGAAAACUGCCAUACUCUGCAGUCUGGCCCAA